UACGUAGGGGGCUAGCGUUGUCCGGAAUCAUUGGGCGUAAAGAGCGCGUAGGCGGCCAGAUAAGUCCGGUGUGAAAGUCAAAGGCUCAACCUUUGAAUGCCGCUGGAAACUGUCUGGCUAGAGUCCGGGAGGGGCGAGUGGAAUUCCUGGUGUAGCGGUGAAAUGCGCAGAUAUCAGGAGGAACACCAAUGGCGAAGGCAGCUCGCUGGAGCGGUACUGACGCUGAGGCGCGAAAGCUAGGGGAGCAAACGGG
rnacentral:rRNA from 1 species